rnacentral:rRNA from 1 species
AACGAACGCUGGCGGCAUGCCUAACACAUGCAAGUCGAACGAUCCCAUCGGGGGUAGUGGCGCACGGGUGCGGAACGCGUGGGAACCUGCCCUUAGGUUCGGAAUAACUCAGAGAAAUUUGAGCUAAUACCGGAUAAUGUCUUCGGACCAAAGAUAUAUCGUCCUUGGAUGGGCCCGCGUUGGAUUAGCUUGUUGGGGGGGUAAAGGCCUACCAAGGCGACGAUCCAUAGCUGGGCUGAGAGGAUGAUCAGCCACACUGGGACUGGGACACGGCCGAGACUCCUACGGGAUGCAGCAGUGGGGAAUAUUGGAAAAUGGGCGGAAGCCUGAUCCAGCUAUGCCGCGUGAGUGAUGAAGGCCUUAGGGUUGUAAAGCUCUUUUACCCGGGAUGAUAAUGACAGUACCGGAAGAAUAAGCCCCGGCUAACUUCGUG